ensembl:lncRNA
UGUUUAUUCAGUGUCUUCAAUCACAUUGUUUGCUUUACAAUAACACUCAAAAGAAAUACAACCACAACUUGGACAAUAAAACUCAACUCAAACAUAAAAUGAAACUCAAAAACUGAAACAAAAUGCAUCUAUCUAAGACAACAGGAGACACAAUCAACAUUGACAAUAUGAGGGACUGGGUUAAGUUUUUAGGCAGGGGCUUGGAGAUAUGAACAUGUAUUAGGACUUCAGGACAAAGGCUAAGGAACAUGGGUUAAUGUAGGGUGAUGGUAGCAAAAGUAAGGGGUUAGGGCUAAGGACACAAAAACAGACGCUGAUGAUGGAAGAUAAAAGCAUAAGUUGGGCCUGAAGGCUUUUGAACUUGGGGUAAUGUUGGAGGGUGGUGUAGUAGCGCAGGUCUGAGCUUUAUUGUGCUCGGGGGGGGGGGCAAAAUACAUGGGGCAAUACAGCAUGUAAGAUCAGAAGCCAAUGGUAGAAUUUUGUGUUGUACAAGAGAACAGAAGAUACAUAUUGAUGAGUUAGAAGGAGGGGAUGGGGGUAUAGGUUAGGGUUUUGUCUGCUGUAGGAUAUGAAGUGAUUACUCUCCUAGUCUAAAACAAUACACACGUGAAACCGCACAAUACAUUAUAAGUGAAUCAUAGGUAGUGUACUGUUGAUUAUUUGGCCUUCACGGAAGGUGAGAUGGUAGCGGAAUUGUCUGAUAACACAGUAAACAUUAGCACAAGGAUGUCAGUGUGUGUGUGUGUAUGUGUGAACAUAAGCAUGUAUGUGUGUGACUUUCCAUUAAGUCCUUGUGUGUGUAGAGUACACUUGCAUGUGUGCUUUUCAAGUUUUUUCUUCAAGCAUUAUUCUGUUCAGAGAGGAUUUUAUAUUUCACAUAUUUCUAUUGUGACAGAUUUCUAACAGAUGCAAGUAAUGGGAUCUGAACAUUCUUCUGGCGUGUUCUCUUCCCAGAGUUCCCAUUGCAGUGUGCGUCAGUAUCUGUGAUCUGGAAGCAUUCAGAAUAGCCAAUAAAUAAACAAGUUAACAUAUCAAUCUGUAAAUAAACAGGAAAAACAAAGAGGUUAAGAUGUAAGACUGAUGGGCUUCACUAAAGGAGCUCAAACAGGUUUGUGUGUGUGUGUGUGUAUGUGUGUGUGUAAGGGUGGGUGAGUGGCUAUGGGUGAGUUAGUGUUUUAUCAACACGUGUUUGUGUGUGUGUGUGUGUGUGUGUGUGUGUGUGUGUGUCUGUGAGACAGUGUGUGUGUGUGUGUGUGUGUGUGUGUGUGUGUGUGUGUGUGUGUGUGUGUGUGUGUGUGUGUGGGUGUGGGUAUGUCUGUGCAAUGAAUGCGUUCUGUGUAUGUGACAACAGGCAUCAUAGUGAUUGGUCCUAGAGGUCGGGGUUUCAUUCUGCAAAAGAAAAGUGUACACACACACACACACACAAACACACACACACACAUACAGAAGGAAAGACAGCACAGCAGAGUUUUUUUCAGAUAUUUACUUGCCACAACAACCAAACCAAUGUUAAAGUCUUUAGUAUAGAGGGUCUGCAUACGACGUCACAGUAGGCAUGGGUCACUGCAGUGAUACCCACUGCGUGUCUGAAAGACAAACUUACUGAGUAGCAGCAUUUAGCUUGACAUUGUCCCUAAAUACUAUCCUUUUCACCUUCCUCUCCAUAGUCUUUUACUUAAAUACAUCUCUAUCACAUAUCAUUUCAAUGAAUGUGUGUUUACUAGAACUUUAGAUAUCGUUGUGUGAUGUCUCAGACGAGUUGUUACAGUUCAAUUAGAUAUGUUUUUUGGGUUUUCCCAGAAUUUAAGAGUCCUGUCACUGCUAAUGGUGGGAUUACGAAAAUAUACACCUGCCACACAAUUGUCCAGUUUAUUCAGGAAUUUUGGAGACUAUCAGAGUAUCUGUUCUCUCCAUGUCCAUCUGCCUCUGUUUCAUUGCCCUCCCAUUGAUUCCCAAUUCCCGUCAAAAUCAGGUGGAAAGAACCAGUGGUUCUUUGGUAAGCUGUAAGGAUCAGGGUUGAGUCCAACUGCUUAAUUUCAGCAUGUAACCGUUUGUUUUACUCCGGUUUUUGCAGGUUCCCCUAUUAAGGGCAACCAUGUUGCAGCAUAUGUUGAAAUCAGUGCAAAGGGACAUCAAGGCAUACCUUCUAUAGUGUGUGUGUGUGUGUGUGAGUGUGUUUU